rnacentral:rRNA from 1 species
AACCGUGUACGUACAAGCAGUGGGAGCCCCACCACCAAAGCAUUCUCUGGUGUUGAAGGCCCUGCAAAGCAGCAUCGCGGUGGCGGAGCGUCGUUUGCGACGCCCAACACACAAAACAAGCGGUGAGUGCUUUGGGGUGGGGUGACUGCGUACCUUUUGUAUAAUGGGUCAGCGACUUAUAUUCUGUAGCAAGGUUAACCGUAUAGGGGAGCCGAAGGGAAACCGAGUCUUAACUGGGCGUUAAGUUGCAGGGUAUAGACCCGAAACCCGGUGAUCUAGCCAUGGGCAGGUUGAAGGUUGGGUAACACUAACUGGAGGACCGAACCGACUAAUGUUGAAAAAUUAGCGGAUGACUUGUGGCUGGGGGUGAAAGGCCAAUCAAACCGGGAGAUAGCUGGUUCUCCCCGAAAGCUAUUUAGGUAGCGCCUCGUGAACUCAUCUUCGGGGGUAGAGCACUGUUUCGGCUAGGGGGUCAUCCCGACUUACCAACCCGAUGCAAACUGCGAAUACCGAAGAAUGUUAUCACGGGAGACACACGGCGGGUGCUAACGUCCGUCGUGAAGAGGGAAACAACCCAGACCGCCAGCUAAGGUCCCAAAGUCACAGUUAAGUGGGAAACGAUGUGGGAAGGCUCAGACAGCCAGGAUGUUGGCUUAGAAGCAGCCAUCAUUUAAAGAAAGCGUAAUAGCUCACUGGUCGAGUCGGCCUGCGCGGAAGAUGUAACGGGGCUAAACUGUGCACCGAAGCUGCGGCAGCGACGCUUAUGCGUUGUUGGGUAGGGGAGCGUUCUGUAAGCCUGCGAAGGUGUCCUGUGAGGGAUGCUGGAGGUAUCAGAAGUGCGAAUGCUGACAUAAGUAACGAUAAUGCGGGUGAAAAGCCCGCUCGCCGGAAGACCAAGGGUUCCUGUCCAACGUUAAUCGGGGCAGGGUGAGUCGACCCCUAAGGCGAGGCCGAAAGGCGUAGUCGAUGGGAAACGGGUUAAUAUUCCCGUACUUGGUGUUACUGCGAAGGGGGGACGGAGAAGGCUAUGUUGGCCGGGCGACGGUUGUCCCGGUUUAAGCGUGUAGGCUGGUUUUCCAGGCAAAUCCGGAAAAUCAAG